CCUACGGGAGGCAGCAGUGGGGAAUAUUGCACAAUGGGGGAAACCCUGAUGCAGCAACGCCGCGUGAAGGAAGACGGUUUUCGGAUUGUAAACUUCUAUCAAUAGGGAAGAAAGAAAUGACGGUACCUAAAUAAGAAGCCCCGGCUAACUACGUGCCAGCAGCCGCGGUAAUACGGAGGGUGCAAGCGUUGUCCGGAAUUAUUGGGCGUAAAGGGUUAGUAGGUGGCAAAUUAAGUCUGGUGUUAAAUGCAGAAGCUCAACUUCUGUUCGGCACUGGAUACUGGUAAGCUUGAGUGCGGGAGAGGUAAAGGGAAUUCCUAGUGUAGCGGUGAAAUGCGUAGAUAUCAGGAGGAACACCAGUGGCGUAAGCGGUUUACUGGGCCGUAAUUGACGCUGAGGAACGAAAGCGGGGGGAGCAAACAGGAUUAGAUACCCGUGUAGUC
rnacentral:rRNA from 1 species